GACUUAAGUCAGGAAGGGAAAGGCAUCUUUCGGGAUGCCACUCUGGGAUGAGCCCGCGCCCCUAUCAGCUUGUUGGUGAGGUAACGGCUCACCAAGGCUACGACGGGUAGGCGGCCUGAGAGGGUGGUCGCCCACACCGGGACUGAGAUACGGCCCGGACUCCUACGGGAGGCAGCAGUCUAGAAGCUUCGGCAAUGGGGGAAACCCAGACCGAGCGACGCCGCGUGCGGGAUGACGGCCUUCGGGUUGUAAACCGCUGUCAGAAGGGAAGAAGGCUCUAUAGGGGAUAAUCUUAUAGAGAGAGACGGUACCUUCAGAGGAAGCCCCGGCUAACUCCGUGCCAGCAGCCGCGGUAAUACGGAGGGGGCAAGCGUUGUUCGGAAUCAUUGGGCGUAAAGGGCGCGUAGGCGGCCUGUUAAGUCUAGCGUGAAAUCUCCACCGCUCAACGGGGAGACUGCGCUGGAUACUGGCGGGCUAGAGUGCGAGAGAGGUUGGUGGAAUUCCUGGUGUAGCGGUGGAAUGCGUAGAUAUCAGGAGGAACACCGGUGGCGAAGGCGGCCAACUGGCUCGCUACUGACGCUGAGGCGCGAAAGCGUGGGGAGCAAACAGGAUUAGAUACCCUGGUAGUCCACGCUGUAAACGGUGUACACUAGGUGUGGGGUCGGGUUUGCCGGCUCCGUGCCGCAGCUAACGCAUUAAGUGUACCGCCUGGGGACUACGGUCGCAAGACUGAAACUCAAAGGAAUUGACGGGGGCCCGCACAAGCGGUGGAGCAUGUGGUUUAAUUCGAGGCAACGCGAAAAACCUUACCAGGGCUCGAACGGCAGUUCACAAGGUGUGAAAGCAUCUGGACUGGCUUGCCAGUCGUACUGUCGAGGUGUUGCAUGGCUGUCGUCAGCUCGUGUCGUGAGAUGUUGGGUUAAGUCCCGCAACGAGCGCAACCCUUGCUCUUAGUUGCCAGCACGUAAUGGUGGGAACUCUAAGAGGACCGCCGGUGACAAACCGGAGUAAGGUGGGGACGACGUCAAGUCAUCAUGGCCCUUACGUCCUGGGCUACACACGUGCUACAAUGGCCGGUACAAUGCGCUGCGAGUCUGCGAGGAUAAGCAAAUCGCAAAAAACCGGUCCCAGUUCGGAUCGGGGUCUGCAACUCGACCCCGUGAAGUUGGAAUCGCUAGUAAUCGGAGAUCAGAAUGCUCCGGUGAAUACGUUCCCGGGCCUUGUACACACCGCCUGUCACACCACGAAAGCUGGUUGCACCAGAAAGGGCUGGCCUAC
rnacentral:rRNA from 1 species